rnacentral:rRNA from 1 species
GAUGAACGCUGGCGGCGUGCCUAAUACAUGCAAGUCGAGCGAACGGACGAGAAGCUUGCUUCUCUGAUGUUAGCGGCGGACGGGUAAGUAACACGUGGAUAACCUACCUAUAAGACUGGGAUAACUUCGGGAAACCGGAGCUAAUACCGGAUAAUAUUUUGAACCGCAUGGUUCAAAAGUGAAAGACGGUCUUGCUGUCACUUAUAGAUGGAUCCGCGCUGCAUUAGCUAGUUGGUAAGGUAACGGCUUACCAAGGCAACGAUGCACAGCCGACCUGAGAGGGUGAUCGGCCACACUGGAACUGAGACACGGUCCAGACUCCUACGGGAGGCAGCAGUAGGGAAUCUUCCGCAAUGGGCGAAAGCCUGACGGAGCAACGCCGCGUGAGUGAUGAAGGUCUUCGGAUCGUAAAACUCUGUUAUUAGGGAAGAACAUAUGUGUAAGUAACUGUGCACAUCUUGACGGUACCUAAUCAGAAAGCCACGGCUAACUACGUG